CACAAAGAAAAAAAGAGGCAGCAUAAUUCCAUCAAAUCCAAUUUUGAAACUUACAUAAUACAACAAGAGGCCACCCCAUAGUUACAUAAUACAAAAAGAAGCCACCUUAUAGUUCCAUUUUACAGGCUAUUUCCACUACAUUUUACAGUCACCAAAGUCAUAUUAAUGUGUCAAAAGUUUCCUGCUGUUGACAUAUUUGAUACUCUUCAAUUGCGGCGACCGCAACUUAUGAAAUUC
rnacentral:lncRNA from 1 species